CGACACAGUGAACAGGGACGCAUUGUGGGUGAUCCUCAGCAAGCUCGGUUGCCCAGCAAAAUUCAUCAAACUGAUCCAGCUCUUUCAUGUCGACAUGACAGGGGAAGUCCUAUCUGGUGGAGAGACUUCCGAUUGCUUCAACAUCUCCAAUGGCGUGAAACAAGGCUGUGUCCUCGCUCCGGUACUAUUCAACCUAUUUUUCACCCAAAUAUUACGACAUGCUGUGAUGGAUCUAGACCUGGGCGUCUACAUCAAAUACCGGCUAGAUGGCUCACUAUUCGACCUUUGCCUCCUGACUGCAAAAACAAAGACAACAGAGAGACUCAUCCUGGAAGCUCUCUUUGCAGAUGACUGUGCUCUCAUGGCCCACCAAGAAAAUCAUCUCCAAACCUUUGUGGACAGGUUCUCCACCGCAACAAAACUGUUUGGCCUAACUAUCAGCCUCUCCAAAACAGAGGUGCUGUUCCAACCUGCACCAGGGAGGCCAAUUAACCAGCUGUGCAUUACAAUCAACAUCACGCAUCUUUCUAAGGUCAACACUUUCAAGUACCUGGGCAGCACCAUCGCCAACGACAGGUCUCUAGACCACGAGAUUAAUGCCAGGAUCCAAAAGGCCAGCCAGGCACUCGGGCGGCUGCGCUCCAAAGUCCUCCAACACAGCGGUGUAAGCACUGCGACGAAGCUCAAAGUGUAUAACGCAGUGGUCCUCAGCUCGCUCCUGUAUGGUUGUGAGACAUGGACACUGUACCAGAAGCACAUGAAGCAGCUGGAGCAAUUCUACCAACACUCCCUCUGGUCAAUCAUGAGGAUCCAAUGGCAGGACCGAAUCACCAACCAGGAAGUCCUCGACAGAGUCAACUCCACCAGCAUCGAAGUCCUGGUCCUCCAAACCCAGCUGCAAUGGUCUGGACACGUCAUCCGCAUGGACCCACAGCGAAUACCAAGACAGGUAUUCUAUGGUGAACUGUCAGCUGGACUCAGGAAACAAGGCCGACCAAAGAAAAGAUUCAAGGAUCAGCUAAAGUCCAACUUGAAGUGGGCUGGCAUUACACCAAAGCAACUAGAACUCCCUGCCUCUGACAGAAGCAGCUGGCGAGCCCACAUUUACCAUGCCGCCAUCACCUUCGUAGAUGAGCGACAUUGACGUCUUGCCCCUGCGUGUGAACACCGACACCGGGCCACAACCGCACCUCCCGUAACAACGGGCGUCCCAUGCCCCAUGUGCCACAAACUCUGCGCCUCAGUCUUUGGACUUCAAAGCCACAUGAGGGUGCACCGUAGAUGAAACUGCACAAAGACAAUAGUCAUUCUCGAUCACUGAGAGACUACCACUAGUAUACGUAAUGAUGACAAUGAAAGCCAAGUGCAAAUAGAAGUAAUGGUGGAGUAAUAGGCCUGAAAUGUCAUGGACUAAAACUCAUAAUAACCAGUCUACAAAAGAACCAAUGCCUUUAU
rnacentral:lncRNA from 1 species